GGUAAGGUCUGCGUACACACUACCCUCCUCAGACCCCAUUAGUGGGAUUAUACUGGGUUGUUGUUGUUCGAGUGAAAAAUAAAUUCAAUUUAGAUUCUAUGAUUCUUCUUGGCUACGAAGCCUCACACGAGUAGAGUUUGAUAUUCUUUUGUUGAUGGCUGACCCCGUUUGGCUACAGCGCAUUAGAGAGAGACUAGCCAUUUAGGAGUUAGACUUAGGAUGCUACUGAUCGGCUACUGAUGCAAGGCUAUAUCUUUUGGAUAUUCACCUUACAUCAUUUUCGUAUUUCCUAUAUUUCUUGUAUUGUUGUUAUUUUGUUAUUUUAUGUUAUGUAUUUUAUGUUAUUUA